AGCAAACGACCGCUGCUAGACAAGAAGUGCUUAAAGCAAGGGUCGCUAUAACCACAUAUGUCACACGAAAUGAAGGCCACUGAGUAUACAGGCGGUUUACUUCAUAUCCGACAAGCUUGGUUCUCCCUUUGCUAGUGAGUGAACUCAACUUGCCCCGAAUACAUGGCCUGUGACAAACUAUGUGCCAGAUGCUGUGUCCCCUGCAAAGCUGAAGAUGUGUAUGAGAUCCUGACACCCUGCAGCGGCUUCUACACUGGGCAAACAGGCUACUAUAAAAAUGACUGCCUUUACUAAUAUGCUAAUAACAUGAAAACGGGCAGAAAUUUGGCUAUUCGUUGGACCCAACUGCAGGUGCAAGCCACCCUUCCACCAUAUGUGUGUUGUUCACAGAAACUGGAGAUAUACAAAUGCAGAUAAAAACAAUGAUGUUUGAAAGUAGUAGAGCUGCACUAUAUUCUGCACAAGCAGUGCUAUCUGCAGCACUGGUUCUCUAUAGCCACAAAUUCAUGGCUGCACCACCAUGCAAAGGCACUAUUCUUGAAUUAUUAACUUCUAUUAUAUUUAUGGUGGCCAUAUAUUGCAAUUACAUAUCAUCCACAUUGUGUGCAAUAUGGUUAAAUGUCAAUUAUGAUAGCCAUUCCUAAUCUGAAAUGCAACAAAAGAGCAAAUAUAGGCAACAAAUUGCAAUUCAAAGAGACAAAAGGCAACCAGUGCACAGGAUAAGUGACAGACUUCCUUUUAUUGAAAAAGAAACGUGACGUGUCAUGCCACCACCAGUGGGUAGCAAUCUUUCAAGCUUGGGUGACAGAGGCAAAUCUUAGCAAAAUGCUACAAUCACACUGUAAAACGGCCUUGGACACAAAAAACCGACAUCAUAUUGUACAGAAUGAAAGGGCAAGACUUCAUCUAAGAACAGUCUAUGGCACCACAUGCUUGAAAUGGUGUGAAAAAUGUUGACAUGCCCUACCUAUAAAGAAAAAGCAACAAACACAGAAAACACGCCUUAAAAUGCAAUGUGCAGAGUCUGAAACCAAGAAAAAACAACCCGAAAAAGGUUUCGCUAAGUCUUUCAAUGAUUAGAAUUGUCAAACUGUAUCAUCACUUCUUAAUGAACCUGCACAGCUGAAAAGGAAGGAAGGAAAGCGCAAUAGCAGGGCUGCAGAAAAUGUCACCGAAUAAAUAUACUUUGCUUACCAACAAUACCUGUGGUUUAGUUGUGGUCUGUGUAUAAACUAAUUGUGUAUAAACUUUUCUUGUUUAGAAUGGCUGAGCGGAUAGGGAAAAAAUGACCAUAAGAGCACCAGGUGUAUGCAGUCUACGCACAAAAAGCCACUGCUUUCUUACUUUUUUUUCUCUGUAUUACUAUUCAUGAGUAUUUCGGUGCCUUAUUAGCACUGCUAACAUCCCACUGCAAAACACAAAAUUGGGCAACUUGUGGCAUAAAGAAAAUUGCAGUUUCACUCAUAAUGUGAAACAAUGAUGCAGUAGCUGGUGAAAUAUGCACAGGAAGCUUGCUUCAUGCAGUGUUUGCUGAAGUGAACACUUGCCAAUGCAAGUCGGUAAUCUCCUUAAAAUAGCAAAAUAAGUAAGAGUCCCAUUUAUUUGUGGGAGCUGUGCCUCAGUGUUGAAGUGGAAAGACUCGGCUUUUCUUCCUCCUCUUUCAUAUCCGGACUUAGCCACUGAUCUACACCGAAACUACCCUUUAGCUUCUUACUGCUGAAUUCGUUUUGGUUUUCUCAAAUCUAUAUUUGGGCUACGCAUUGCUAUGUCUCGUGCUUUGCUUGAGGAAAACAAGACACCAACAGCUCCAUCCAGUAAAUCUGAGAAGCCAAGCACUAGAAGAAGAUUAAUGAAGCAGAUGCACCCAAUCAUUGUCAUCACAUGCAAGAAGAAAACUUAACAUAGGACUGCCUUCACAAGUGGGAAGGUGAUGUGUAAGAACUUGAAGGUGUGGAUGCCAGCUCUACAUACAGUAUGCAGACAUUGAGCAGGUGUUAGCCAAUCUAGGCACCUGUUGGCUAGAUUACGUUCUCCGGUAUCAGUAUUCACCACGGAAAGUGUCUGCGUUCACCCGGUCGACGGAACGCAGGCGUUAGGUUCACCCAAACGUCACGUCCGGGAUGUCGCAUUCAUUCUUUGUUUUUUCGCGUCCGUGAUGUCACAUCCGUCUUUGGUUUUGGCGGCAGAACGGCAAGCUCAAAGGUGAGCUACGCUCAAACAACUGGACAAAGAUGUGGAUCGUUUAUUUUUCGGGGUUUGUGCUAGCGUAAGCUAUCGUGGCCAAAGAACGUAAUCGGAAGAGGUGACGAGACGAAUGCGUUCUUCGUGGUUAGGAAAAGAAUUGCCAGUGGCAUCCAGUUGUGUGAGGCGCUGACGACAAGAGAUAGAAGCAGACGCCAAAGAAGUCCCACCCCAAGAUGAGUUCAUGGGUCACUCACGAAAUACCGCAAAAACAAUGUGGUGAAGAAUUUAGUCUAUGGACACACGAACAGUACACGGUGCGAUUGGACGAAUAAUAACGUUGGCUGCUGCACAAAGAGAAAGGCGGGAGUAAGGCAAUUCUUGUGUUUUAUAGAGUCCCGAACAGUCACAUGGCAAUAAUCGCCAAGCGUCUUGUAACAUGGAGCCACCUCAGAAUUGCACCAAACAAAGAUGAUGGAUGCAGCCAGUCUUGCCAGAUAACUACAUUUUGACUAUUCUGUAUUGUUUGCAUUUAUUGUGCAAAAGGAAUUCUCGCAGAGAGUUUUAUCUUCAGUGGCCUUCAGUUGACGUCAUCUGCUACAACUAGCACAUAAGUUAACUCCAUAGCACCACUAGGAUGGAGACAUUGUGUCGUGGGAUGCUUCCUUAAAAGUGGACAAGAAGAUUCUAAAGGAAAAGUGUGAGAUGGUCACAGUAAUAACCAAGGCAUUUGGCAUGGGAAUGACCCAGCUAUGAAGGUAUUAUCAGAUGUGGACAAGCAUAUAAUACACAAUGGUGCCUUGCACGAGUCCCAAGUGUCAAAUGUAAUGAGUAUUGUGCAUUGAAAGGGCCAAAAAUGUUUUGUACAUGCAAGGGAACACUAUGGGCAUUUGAUAGCAGUUGCUUAGAUGUACUACAUUAAAAGGAACCAAACGAAUUCCCUUAGACAUAAGCAUGCAGCAAAUUCAAGGACUAGAUGAAGCUUCAAAGAAACUGCAUUUCAUGUAGGAUAGGUGUGAAUGACCUUUGUGCAUGAGAUCAGUGACAAAAACACUAAAUGAAUGCAGUACAGUGUCUGUAUCAUAUCUUGUGCAGACCAAACUAGCUUGGAGUUUAAGCAUUCCUUGUCAGUACAUUUAAAUAGGCACUACAUUGUUCAAAGUGCAAUAUUGUUCUACAAAACAUAAUAUGCAAGAUGUAGCAUGCUAACCCUUGUGGCUCAACAACUACUGAACCGAAACCUCAAUGAGCAGUGAAGCGUCCUUGUAAUUUUCAUCGUAACCAUACUUUUGCUCUUGAAAGUGAACCUCUUUAGUGAAUUUGCUUGUGUAUUAAUUUUUCUUUAGGCAAGUAUUUUUUAUACAUGUUAAUGUCUCAAUCCUGCUUUCUCUUUCCGGAGCUAAAACAAAAUGCCUCUUAUUUCAGUUUGAUCUUUUGACCUAGGAAGCCAUCAUCAGGUGCUGUGUACAGCAAGCACAUGCUUCGGGCAAGGAGGGAGCGAGCACCAUAUCUACAUCAGCAAGAACCUCGGUGCUCAAAAUAAAAAUUUUCUGUGCAAA